CCAAGUCAAUGUUUCGCUUAUCUUGUGGAAACCAACUUUUAUAAAAUCAUAUUUUUCCAGCUUAAAUCUUACUAUAAGGGGAGAACUUCGGAGUGAAAAUGCAUCUCUGGUUUUAAGUAGCAGCAAUCAAAAAAGAGAGCUUGCUAUUCAAAUAUCCAAAGAUGGGCUACCGGGCAGAGUGCCAUUAUGGGUCAUCCUGCUGAGUGCUUUUGCCGGAUUGUUGCUGUUAAUGCUGCUCAUUUUAGCACUGUGGAAGAUUGGAUUCUUCAAAAGACCACUGAAAAAGAAAAUGGAGAAAUGAAAUAUUUUAUGAAAGAAAAUAAUAACAAUUAUUCAAUAAUCUAUCCUCAGGAAGAGAAUACAGUGGAGUUACUAAGGAAGAAUCUGGAUAUAUUCACUGGAAAAUAAAUGGUAUACCUCAAGAUUUAUUAUUUGUACAUCCAGAGAAUAUCACAACAUUUACUUCCUUACCUUCAUUUACUUUGAUUAUAAAAAUAAUGUGAUCCGCAUAGGCAGAUGUCAAGUGUAAUUUCACCAAACAGAAGUGAUCAUGAAUUAAGAAGACUGAAGAUUAUGUCUAUUUAUUCUUUAUAACAGCAAUAUUAUUUUAAUUGCUUAAAAAUAUGUGAAUAUUAAUUGUUAAGAAAACAUUUAUGGUAAAAGGGGGAUGUAUACACAUGUAGAUAAUUUGAAAACCACAAGAAAUAAUUUUAAAAUAGCCAUCAUACCAGUACCAGAAAUUAUAUGCUAAAAAUCAUAAAGAAUAUAGUACCCUGUACUUUUAAAAACUAUAAUAUUAUAUUUCUUAAUUUUUCUCUAGU
rnacentral:lncRNA from 1 species